UGUACUUCCCAUCCUGCUCACUCUAUAUCCCAGGGCAUCUCCUCAGACUCCCCUGACUCCACCCUUCUUCCUCCCAAAAAUCCUGCCCAGUUAUCGGUCAGUUGACUUUGUAUUAACAAUGAGAGCAACGCAUCUCUAGAGUCACCUCUGCCUUGGGGACUAAGACAUCAAAUAUUCAUCUCUAUCUUCAUUUUACAGAUUUCCCAUCAGCCUCAAUGACUAUAUAUUCAAGUUACUCAAUCUCUUGUGAAAAUGGAUCACACACGCCUUGUAGGAUGUGCAUCUCUUGAGACACCAUUUACAAUUUACAUCAUUCUUCAUAAUAACCUGGAGGGAGAAGACAUUUCCUGAGACAUUAGAUUUAUCAUACAGAGUAAACUCGGAGCUGAUUGAAGUGCAACUGUACAUAUAUUGAGGACAGAUCUGAAGAUGGUCUGGAAAGUCAUACUCUGAAAAAUAUGACUCUUCCAGCUGGAGUUCUUGAAGAUAUUUUCUCGUAGCCUCUGUUUCUUCUUUCCACACGUGCUCUGAGAAAUGGGAAGUAAUAGCCUGUACUUUCUGAGAGCAAUCAAUGUUCUUCCCCAGAAUGAAAAAUAAUUUGUACAUGGAAUGAAGAAUAUUAUCACUUUAAUUAUAACCACAUGCUGAUCAUUAAAAAAGACAUUAGCAACUGCUUUAAACUUAGAUGUGGACUAUGAUAGAAUAUGGUAAGAAGUCCCUAUUGUACGGACACAGAAAAAUGAGAUUGAUAUCUGCUAAGCAAAUGCUCUUUGGGCUUGAGAAUGACAGAGGAUAUGCGUGUCUGCUUUGCAAGCAUCAUCAUUGCAUUUAAAUAUCAAGCACCCACAUGCAAAGCUGGAAGUGGAUGCACACAUCUGGAACCCCAGCCUUGAAGGGAAGAACAGGCAGAUACCAAGAGUUCCCUGCUGAGUAAACUUAGCCAAAAGCCAAACUUCAUGUUUCAAUGUGAAACUUCCAGGAAAUAUUUGGAUGGUGGUAAAGGAAGACCCUCGAAGUUCUCCCCAGUUCUGGUUUUUGCAUAUGUGCAUUGGUAGGUACACAGUACAACAUGCACACGUAACAUAUAUGUACACACACACACACACACACACACACACACACACACACACACACCGAGACAGAGACAGAGACACGCACAGAAAAAAGAGGGGAAGCUUACUUAAAGGUUUGAAAAACAGAGUGUGAAUUCAGAGUGUUUUUGUUUUUCAUGAACUGUAAAUCAAUCACAAACAAUGGAAUCUCAUGGAUUGAAAAACUCUGAAAUGAGAAGAAAAGUCAAAUCGAGGGUCAAGUUGCCCAAGUCUUUCCAAAACUGAAGAAGCCUUGUCCAGUUUCAAGGGUGAAAUAAUCUUCUAGCUGAUUCACCUGUCUACAGUGGUGGCUUGCUAGAGACCAUACACAGAGAUCUUAGUGACAUGGUGAGCGUUACAUACCUGUAAUCCUGUCAUUUGAAGGCUGAAGAAAGAGGAUAGAGUUGAAGGCCAGCCUGGACUAUACAGUGAAUUACUGCACAGCAAGACAUCUCAAAAACAAAACAAAAAUCUCAGAGGAAAAAGACCGCUCAAACCCCCUGAAAUAAAAAAAAGUCCUUCAAAAUAUAAAGUGACACAUUAUUAGAAAAAUAAAUUAAAAGAAAUAUUUUGUUCAAGACCUCCCAGUGGCUCUUGGUGAAUUUAGGUAAGUCAAGAAGGUCAAGAGGACUGUGCUUACUGAUCUUCCAUUGAUGCUGCAAAAAGCUUCUGACAGGAAAAACUGGAGGGAGAAAGGUUUGUUUGACUCAGAGUAUCAGAGGAAUUUCACCGCAUCAUGGUGAGGAAGAUAUGGUGAAGUUCAUGGUGGCAGUGGCAUCUUCCCUCUUGGCAGACCAGGAGACAGAGAUGGUCAGAACCAAGGGCCAGGCUUUCAGGUUCAACAGGUCAAUUCCAGUGACCUAGGUUGUUAGCUAGGCCCCAGCUUCUAAAGACUCCACCCAAUUCAGAAUGGAUCUGUAUUGGAAACCGGGCAUUCAAAACAUGAGGGCAUUUUAUAUUCAAACCACAGCAAGAAUCACUGAUUUGACAUCUCUGUAUGCAAGUCAGUCCCUGUAGUAAAUACAUAACUCAAACUCACAUUUACUGUGACUUAUUUCUCUUCUAAUUCUACUGACAUCAUUGAUGUUAUUAAAAAUAUACCUCAGACAGACUUCAUGUAGCACGGAAGAUACUGAAGCGGAGGAUACUGAAGAUACAGAAGAUAGCAGACCCUGAAGGGGAGGAUUCCUUUUAAGUAGAUUGACAGAUAGGUUACAUCUAAGUAUCUGUCAUGGCAUGAUGGCUAUAAGGAAGAGAAUCACCACCAUCAGUCCUUCUUGGCCAAAACUAUCUCCAACUCACCACGAUGAAGGAAAUAUUCGUAUAGUUAUAUG